rnacentral:misc_RNA from 1 species
CCGAGAAGUCCUCCUGUCUAGAACUUUCGUACACGGAUACAACGCAAAUGGAGUAGACAAGGCAUUCAGUAAUUGUGACGGAAACCCCAAUGCCUAUUUCACCUUCUAUACGAAUCCCAAUCAGCGUUCGCCUACAAGGACAGGAUGGGCGAACGCUUAUCCUUUGACAGCUCACUGGAAUUCGGGUGCCAAGAUGUUAAGUACACCUGACCAUCUCAACGACGACUACUUCUUCGACACGGAACUACACUUUGGGGGGGAUGUGGUACUUACGCCAUUUCUCCUAGUAAUCCAAGUCUCGACGGCAUAGCUCUCGGGGUCGUAUAUGUUCACAGCUAAAUGUAAGGGCCAACCCUUGGCAAUGGGAGGAUACAACGUUGCCGUCAAAUCCCUCAAGAAAGUAGGAAGAAGCGCCCUGAUUAUGCCUGUACAAUAAAGUCAUUGAAUAGCAUGCAUUCAAAUCGUAAUUUCUUACGGACACCUAUUUCUUACCUACCCUUUCUACCACUGAAACUGACAUGUGGUUGAAAUAGUAACUCAUAGUAACGGUGAUUCGUAAAUAAUCAAGUUUCGAUCAGACAAUCCAGUGAUUGACAUGAUUAUCGAUCCAAGCAAUUUGGAUACGAUGACAUUAUCAAAAUGUGAACUAUAUUUCAAUUACAAAUACACAAUUAUUUGAAUGUUAACAUGUUCAGAAGAAAUAACAAGAGGAGCCUCCACGUGUCUCCACAUGUCUCCACAUGUCCUCCACACGUUCUCCACAUGUCUCCACACGUCUCCAUAUGUCAUAAACACGUCUUCACAUAUCGUCCACAUCUCUCAACACGUCUCAUUGUCCUCCACAAGUCUCCACAUGUCUCCACAUGUCUAAACAUGUCCUUCACACGCCUCCACACGUCUCAACAUGUCACCAACUCGUCGCCACAUAGCUUCCACACGUCUCCACAUGACCUCGUGGAGUC